UAAUUGCUUAAACGUUAUUUCUAUAAAUAAAGUCAGUUAUAUCACUGCAAAUUUGAGAUCACAUUGGUACUAAUUUAUUAUUGUACACCGUCCCUCCAGUUCCACCAAGUAUCACGAGUAAUAUGUCAACACUGUGCUCAGAAUGCAGAGUUUGUAGAAAGUUCUUGCCUAAAGAAUUAUAGUAUGCUUGAGAGUUUUUUCGUCUUCUAUCUUUUUCUUCUCUAUGCAUGCAGUAUCCGAAACUACUGGCCCGACUAAUUGUGAUUUGUGCAGCAUAGGGCCCAUUAAAAGAGAAAUUAUACCUACCAAGAGUUUCUCUAUUCCUCGAAUUUGAACUUGAGACAUGUGAUUAAGAGGGGAGCAACUCCAUACAUUCCACUCACCCGCAGGCUUUCUUGUACCUUGCCUACUCGUCACGACUUAUUUGUACCUAAAUACAAUCUAUUUCCUUGGGCCCAAAGGACCCUCGGCUAAUCGUUACUCGCCCGUCCUUGUUUAGGAAAAAACUACUACUAUCACUUGAUUGAUCUGUUCUGUUGGUAAUAGUUGCUUGAGAUACAAAAUAAAAUUUCUUUCCAUGCUAUUUCACAUUGUCUCGCUUCCUACGCAAGUUUUAACCCUUGGGGGAAGUAAAAUUAGUCAAGAAUCAGAACCCUUCUUGAUGGAUAACUUCACCCAUACUUUAUCAACAAUUAUAUUUGUACUUAUCACAUAUUAACAUUACAUGUUCAAUAGUGCCGUAAUAAUUGAUGCAUGUACCAAAUAACUAAUAUCUCUACCUUUUCCGGAGGACUUUGCACUCUCAGCCGUUUCUCAUACUUGAAGAAAACUUUUUUUCGGUAUGAAUCUGAAAAUACAGAAAUAACGCAAAGAAAAAACCAUAAAUGUUGAAGAAAAUUAAAAAAAAAAAUGAAUAAAAAUAAUUAUUACUUUGAUAUAUGUUAAUUUCAAUACCUCCAAAUAAAAAAGUCGGCUUUUUCCCUAGCUCUUCACCUCUACUUUCAGAAUUAGCAUAACAAAUAUGAGAAUCAUUAUGAGAAGGGAAUGAAAUAUAAUAGAGCGCUAAGGUUGAGCAAGCAAUAAUGACGCCAGAAGACAGUGAUUCAACAACUAUUCCAUUCUUUCUAUAUCCAUUAGAACCGCCGGACCCAACAUUUAAUUGGUGGCCAUUCGAUUUGGUGAAGAUGGAACGAAAUAUUGGAUUAUGAGCGGCAAGCCCUCGGAUUGCUGGCUUAGGUGUUCUAAAAAAUGCCCAAGGAUGCAUAGUAAUUACAAGCUGUAAAGAGAUAGCAGAAACCCAAAAGUGGAUCAGACUUUUGAAAGAUUAUUAUCACUUAGUUGUUAAAGAAAACAGACAAGGUUGAUCCUUGGAAAGAGGAAAGGGAAAAUAUUACGGGUAUAUUUGACCAAGAAAGAGAGGUGUGGGAUGUUUCUUGGGUUUUUGGUUCAGCUUUAUUCAUAACGGUCUCUAAGGUAGUUGGUUAUGUUUUUUAUGAGUCUCGAUUAUGUGCAUACUAGUGGCAGAGGUACUCCGUGUUAAGCUCGGGCCCAAACUUAAUGACACACUUUUUUUAUUAGUUUGUUCCAAAAAGAAUGACAUAUUUUUAUAAUUUAAAAUAAUUUAACUUUAAAUUAUUCGUUUUACCUUAAAUGAGAAUCUUUUAUAACCACAUAAAUGUUAUGGUCCCACAAAGUUUUUAUCCUUAUGCUUUAAAUACCACAAGUUUCAAAAGUCUUAUUUCCUUUUUUUUAGACUCGUGUCAAGUCAAACUACCUCAUCUAAAUUGAAAUAGAGUAACAAUUUUGAUUAAAAAGUAAUUUGUGUCAUAAUCUUUCAAAAUUAAUCAUAUAAAAUGUUCUCUGUUUCUGCUAUUCUCUAUGUUACCAUGCCUAUCCAUUGUUUAUAUCUUCAAAUUGGAUUUUGAAUUAGUUGGCCUAGAACUUAAACUUUUGGCAUUUUGUCAAAGAUUUAUUAGUGUUCUUUGUGUUGGAAAAUGUGACUAGGUUGUGUAUCGCUUCAUGUGGCUGAUCCAACCCGAUUAGAAGAGAUAAGUAAGAAAAGUUAUCACAGAAAUAACCACCCACACCAAAAUUGUUGCUGUCGUGUAUAAGGUGUAUGAGGUAAAAUUGAUUAGCGACAAGUCGAUAAACGACAAGAUGACAGGUGAAACUGAAGACAGGUAAGAUAUAAGUUAACAAAUAGUUGGCACCUGAUACAAACAUAUGACUGGUGCUGAAUGAGUUAUGAAGAUAUUGGAACCGAGAACAAACAUUUGAAAGGAAGACAUCGGUUGGAAAAGACAACAUUGAAUGGGCAUCCGUUACAAAUAAUCUAUGUAUUAAUGCUCAGUCCUUAUGCAUCCAUCAAGAAGGGUUUUAUCCACAUUAAAGAAGAGCGUAAUUUGGGGAUCUUGUCUCCCUAAGUAGAGCUAUAAAUAGGAGAAUUUAUAUUCAUUAUGGAACAUGAAAUAUUCUGUACUCAAAGCUAAAAUCAGCUCUCAUUCUAUCAAAUUAUUCUCUUUCUUCAGUUCUUAAUAUUGCUCUUGUUACUGCUUCUAGAGAAAUUAAAUCCACAACCAUGCUUGUAUUUCUUAAAGUUAUUUUAACAAUCUUAUUUCUGUCUUUACUUAUUUUAUAUUCUUGGAUCAAAUUAAUUCACAUGAAUAUAAAUUAUGUUACAAAUUCCACUGUACCGUUUUACCAGUAAACAAUUUGGCACCCAUCGUGGGGCAUAGACAAUUGUGUAAUUACUUUGAUCCAUUCAUCAAUUACUGACACAGUUUGAUUCUUUUCUUUAGCAAAGGAAAAAUCAGAUAUGACAGCUAACGAUGUGAAUAAUUCCAAUUAUAUUGGAGCAUACAACGAGCGUGAGGAUGUGUUCCAGCGUGAUGAUUAAUCUAGGGAUACUUGCAAUAAAGGAAACAAAAUAACUCUAGUUCACGAAGAACAAAAUCCCCGACAUGUCACAAGUCCAACUCCUGAUGAUAACGAUGAGAAAAAAUCCCCGACAUGUCACAAGUCCAACUCCUGAUGAUAUGAACGAUGAGCAUGUCAUUGAAACAGUCAAAUUUUGAGGGAGCAACAAAGGAAAAUUAUAAAGCAUCUCUCAAGACAAGACCGAGUAAUAACGGAGUUGAAGCAUGCACUUUCGACUGCUUCCAAUAACUCCAAUGGAGGAAUUUAAGUCCCUCCCAGCGUGCCUGCAAAUCAAACGUUGCAAAGAACCGGUAACAUCUCUUUGAGGGAAGAGUUUGGUGCUAAUGAAAAUGAGGCAGGUGGUGCAGGUAGUGGAUCCCAGAACGACAACAAUGUUAAUGAUCCUUUCAAAACUGAGCUCAUGAGAUUCAUGAGAGAAAUGAAUGAACGAAUGGACUAAAAUGCUAAGGAAUUCCAUGCUAGUAUGGAUCAAAUCUCGGGAGCACCACCGAUGUUGAAGGAUCCAGAUUCAAAAAAGUAUACACAAGUGCCAUUCAAAUCAAGUACGGCCUCGGAGCUGAUUCCGAAAAGAUUAAAGAUGCCAGAUAUUUCGAAGUAUGAUGAGACUUCAGAUCCACAACUGCAUGUUACAACUUAUACUACGGCUGUAAAAGGAAAUGACUUGGACCCGUACGAGAUCGAAUCUAUCGUUUGAAGAAUUUGGCAAAACCCUAAAGAAGGUUGCUUUAACUUAGUAUUCUCUUUUACUUAAUCAUUCAAUUGAUUCUUUUGAAAUGCUUGUAGAUUCUUUCAUUAAAGCUCAUGCUAAUGAAGAAAAGUCCAAGAUUAUCCUUGAGGUUGUAAAUAUUUAUGCCAUGUUUAACAAGUGCAAAGUACAUGUUGAAAGAGAUUAGAAGCCGAUAAUUUAGAAAGUUAAUGAGGAUUGGUUAUGAUGUUAAAAUAACAUAUACCAUGUAAAUAUGCAUAAUACCCAUGAUUAGAAUAAUAUAGGUCCUAUAAUUAGUAAAGAUAUGUUCAGGUGCUUAUGUGUAUAUAUGUAUUUUUUGUAAAAUAUCUAUUAGCAAGUAAAGACAAAUGCUGCCUCUUCAACCGUCCAAGGCCCCUUAGCCAUUGCAAAUUGAUAUAUAUCAAAUCUUCAAAUUGAAGGAGGUCAUUUACGAGCUGUUGCACGUUAUACAAUACAUAUAAGAACCCUCUUAUUCAAUUAGAAGCUCCUUACAAUUGCACCAUACGGCCAGCCCUCUUUAAGGCAAUUAUCUUGCAGUUUUCCUCUUGGUUUGGAGGUUUUGUUUGUAAAGGAUGUUGGGAAGGCUUAUAUCCAGUUCAUCCUAUUCCCUUUAUUCAAAUAAUUAAGGUAAGAAUUCAAUAAUAUUUCUAGAUAAGUUUAUCUUCUACUUGGAGAAAUUCACUUUGAAUUCUUCUUGAUGUAGAAAUAAAGGUUCUUGUAGUGUAUUUGAGGAGGGUUUGAUAGUGUUGAAGGGUUGAAAAUGUAGUUAUAAAUAUGUAUAUGUGUUGUUGUUCUUGUUGUUCAAGGUGAUAUUAUACGCUUCUCCGUGUAUUUGAGGUCAUUUGGAUCAUUGUUUUGUUAUUGAUGAAUGAAGUAUAGGUCGAAAGUUAUGAUUAAAAAUUUGGUUUGUGGGAGCGUAUUGAUGUGUUAUUGAAGGAGUUUCGUUGUGUAUAUCCAGAUACUUGAUGUUGUGGUGAUGUGAUUGUGUCUGCGUUACAUGAAUAUAAAUUAAGGAAAAGUGUAAGAAUAUCGUAUACAAGCGUAGAUCGGAUUGUUUUGGUGUAUACUCAUGUAUAUUGAUGGAUUGAGUUCAUAAAGGAAUUAAUUUAAGUCUUUGUUGUGGGUUUUGGUUGCCGAAUGUAGGGUAGUUAAGAGAAAGUAAAGGAAAUGCUGCCUGUUUUAUUUUAGAAUCGAGUUAUCAUUUGAGAUACGUGACAUACUAGCGCCAUCUAAGUUGUACAUGUAUUUCUUUAUUAUAGGGUUGGCACACUAUUUGUCAUAAGCUCGUUGUUGAGUUGCAUUGACGACUUGAGGUAUGUUAAGGCUAUCCCUUCUUUCCUUUUGGCAUGAUUCAUAUGAUACAGACAAAACGAGCAAACCCACAACUUUCUCAAAUGAAUAUUCUGAGAAGUACUAGGGGUGCCUAUGUUUUUUAUUCCCCAUGUGUCCUAUUAUUAUAUCGUCCAUUCACGGGUCUCAGAAAAUACGUAAGUUGGUAAAGUUUAUUUCGUGAUAUUAACCGAAGGCAUAUUGAUCUUAUGACAUUCCAAGAGAUCUUAUUGACUUACUUCAUUAUACAUUGCUUUCAUUUAUACAUGUACAUUAACCCAUGAUCAGAUAGCAUUAUAUAUGCGUAUAUUAUAUGUACAUGGGGUAUGGGGAAAGGUUACAAUAUUAUAUACGCAUCACCACCUGAUCAACUGGUAUACAUUGAUGAUUUCGCCCACUGAGGCCAAGAUGCAACAACAACAACAACAACGACCCAGUAUAAUCCCACAAGUGGGGUCUGGGGAGGGUAAUAUGUACGCAUACCUUACCACUAAGGCCAAGAUGAUAUGAUGGAAUGCCGAUAGAGGCUUGAUGAUGUUAUGUACGCAUAUACCUAUGCAUGAUAUGACAUUUAUACGCACAACAUUACAUUAUAAAUGUUUCAUGAUUCAUAGAGCUGUUCAAACUUACAUAUUGAGUCCUCUGCUAUAUGGUUCUAUCCUGUCUUUUAUAUACUAACUUUCAUGUCUUACAUACUUGGUACAUUAUUCGUACUAACGCCCCUAUUGCCUGGGGGCCUAUGUUUCAUGCUUGGAGGUGCAGGUAGACAGUCUGACGGUCCCCCUUUUUAGGAUCCUUGCUCAACGAGAGUUGGUGUGCUCCAUUUGAUACGGAGCUGCUAUUGGGUUUUGGUAUGAUAUUUUUGUACACAUAUAUUGGUACGAGAGGCCUAGUACCGUCCUUUAUACAGUUGUACACUCUAUUAGAGGUAUGUAGAAAGUCACGUAUAGUUGGAUAGUAUGUGUCCUUGUCGGCUUCUAUGUUUUGAAAUAUAGUUGUCCAUAGCAGCCUUGUCGGUUUGCACAAACUAUUGAGAGUGUUCAAGGUCCGAUUUUAGAAGGAAAGAAGUUGUUGUCGGCAGUACCAGAUGAGUGGGCAAUUGAAACGUUCACCAAAGAUCUCAAUCUACUGAGUUUUGAUGCCUCCAGGAAACUGAAGGAAAGUUUUUUGGAAUUUCAAGCAACCACAUGGGCAGAUGUCCACAAUCAUUAUGAAUAAAAAAUUAGAAAAGAAGAUGAUCAACUGGGCUCUUCAAUGUCUUCUAACGGACGUAAUCGUGAUCGAAAUCAGGAGAAGUUCAAAACUGAUUUUGAUGCAGAUCGAAGGUCUUCCAGGAGUCGCUUUUAGCCUUAUGAAAGGGUUGAUGGGAAUGGAAAUAAAGGAUUUCAGUCAUCGGACAUGUUUUCUACCAAUAGAAGAGUGGAUCGUGGUCGGAAUAGUAGAGCUUUACAGGAGAAGGAACCUGUCACGAUCUAAAAUCCAACCCGUUGUGAUGACACCUAACCCAACCCGCUAGGUAAGACAAAAAAAAAUAAAACACACUACAGUGAUAAUGAUAAGAGUCAAAAAUCAAAUAGCUGAAUUUUUAUACAACUUCACAAGGACUGGUAGUACAAGUCACGAGCCACUAAGAUUUAGAUUUUUACCAAACUGAAUUAAAAUAAUUACAACAUCUUCUUGAAAUUUAAAUGAACAGAAUUCGAAUGUAAAGCUACCAAGGAUAAGUGAUAGUCAUAACUAGAACACAAGUAGAUCUUCAAUGCCAGCUCUCGUCGUACACAGCCGCAUCAACUCCAAGAUCUGCACGCAAGGUGCAGAAGCAUAGUAUGGGUACAACUGAUCCCAUGUUCUCAAUAAGUAUCCUAACUAACCUCGGCGAGGUAAAAUAAGCAAGAACUAUAGAUUAUACUCACUAACUCCUAUGCAGUUUAUAAUUUCAACAAGUAUAGAACAAAUAUAUGAUCAAAUCAGGAAAUCUUAGGAAAAACCACUUUAACACUCAUAAUUCUUUGGUUUAAAGUAUACUGUUCACUCAACAAUCCAGCAUAUAAGGAAGAUAUGCAAGUAUAUCAGGUAAACAACCGAGAAAAUUGCAAGUAAAGAUGAAAUUCCAUAACUAAAUAUCACAUCAACCAGAAACUCAUCGGUUUCUCACAAUUCGCGUGUGCACCAUCAAGAGAGAAAUAUGAGAGGGUGACCCUAGGGGGAUGGAUCCAUUCCACAUCCUACAUGGACAAGUCACGUGCUACACGAACAAUUCACAUGCUAAUAAUAUCAACCGCGCGAACAGCUCAUGUGAUGCAUGGACAACUCACGUGCUAUAAUAUUAAUAUCUAGAUCCGCACGGAUAACUCACGUGCUGUACGGACAAUUCACGUGCUAAUAAUAUCAAUUCGCCCGGCGUGGCCACAUGCACAAUUUCAUAAUCCGCCGGACAUGGUCACAAGCAUAACAACAUAAUACGCCUGGCAUGGUCAUAUGCACAAUAUCAUAAUUCGCCCGGCAUGGUCACAUGCAUAACAACACAAUCCUCCCGGCGUGGUCACAGGCACAAUAUCAUAAUUCGACCGACAUGGUCACAUGCAUAACAACACAAUCCGCCUGGCGUGGUCACAGGCAUCCAGUCAAAUCAUAUCACACAGGAGCAAAUAAACAAGAAUAUAUGUGUAUGAUAAAUGAAUAGCAAAUCUCAUGCUCCUCGAUUGGUAUAAAUUACAUGCUAAAGCGUAGGCAUAUGCCGAGUGUAUUAUCAUAGCUCAAAUCGGCAAUUACAUCACAAAAUAUUAUUUAUCAAGUGCAUUCCUGGAUUAAACCUCUUUGUAGCCUUAAACACGGCUCAAAUAGUUCACACAUUAUUACAAAUAUGAGAAACAUCAUAGCUUAAAGCAUAGCAGUCAAUUCUAGGCUUAUCAUAGCCUAAAUGCAAACUUCGAUAUAUAAUGAGUCUGCCCAGAACUUCCACAUUUGUGGACAAAAUAAUGCACCUGCGGCCUCACAUUUGCGAGCUAAAACAUCACAUCUGCGACUUCAGCUUAAAGAACCAUGAUCGCAUCUGUGGAACACCUUCCGCGCCUGUGACUCUGCAGAAGCGUAUUGUCACGCCCCAAGCCUAGGGAGGCGUGGCUGGCACCUGGUGCCGAACUGGCCCGAGCGAACCACUCUAUAACUCAUUUUUUUCCUUGUGCAACUAUCAUGGGCCAACUUGGCCACAACUCGUAAUAUAUAACUAUAAGUGGGAAAACGUUGUAUUAAUGAAUCAUUUUUCUUAAAACAUGAAUACAUAUGAGCCGUCAAGGCCUUUGACAUACUGUACAAAAUGAACCUCUACCUACAAAGUCUCUAAGAUUAUUCGACAUCAAAUGGGAUAGGGUACCGGCCUACCCAUAAGUCUGUAGCAAAGCUCUAAUACAAUGACUCAUAGACUCGGAUGCAUUCCGAAUGAGGUGGAGUCUUAUCGAUCCUUUGCUGAAUGCGAAUCUCGUCUACUAUGAGGACUCGUCAAACUGAUUAUCUAUACCAGCUGAUACUGACUCAAUUCUCUUAAUAUAAUAAGUAAAAUAGUUGUCCGGGCCUAUAAGGCUCGGUAUAUAUAUAACUGCUCUAUCGUGGUAGGCUCGCUCAUAGGCGCUCGGCCAUACUAGGCUCUGUAUCUUGACCAACUAGGCUCGCUCAUAAGCGUUCGGCCACAGUAGGCUCGGUAUAUAUAUAACUACUCUGCCGUAGUAGGUUCGCUCAUAGGCGCUCGACCAUACUAGGCUCUGUAUCUCGACCAACUGGGCUCGCUCAUAAACGCUCGGACACAGUAAGCUCGGUAUAUAACUUACCAUCUGAUCAGAGGUUGCCCAAUAGAGGCCUGCCCAUCGAUUAUAACUCGAUGGUAAUGAAAAUACUUUUAAUACUAUAUAUAUGUAAACUGUCUGCUCUUUUGACUAGAAGAAGAAAAUACUUGACUGAAUAUGAAUUCCCCAUAAGGAGAAUAUGGCAAUUUAUAAAAUUUAAAAAAUAUACGUAACUUGCGAAACUAGCAAAAUAUACGCAAAUUGAUAUGAAUUUUUCUUUAUGUCUCGUUAUCAAACUUGUAUAGUGACGAAAUCAUGCCAAAAUGAAGGAAGGGCUUAACCUUAACGUACCUGAGCCUAUUCCUUGAUAAUUCCUCUACACACGUUGAUUGUAACAAAACACAAAACAAGUUGUAUGAAAAGAUCGAAGCAAUUAAGAAGCUAUGCAAAGAAAAUCUUCAUCGAGUCUAUCUACAUGAAGGUCGCAUCAUAAAAGAAGUUCAACUACUAUCUAGCCAAUUCAUCACUUGUCGUAAUAACUCUUCACUUUCUAUCCUCAUAAUUUUCUGCAAAUACCUACUGAAAAUUCCUUGUCUAACACCUUUUCAACCAUUAUCCUAAUUAUUUCCCACAACCAAGAUGAAUAAUUUGAAGUAAACGCAAGGAAACAUGUGAAGAAACUACCGCUAAAGCUGUUAACUUCCAUGGGCACAAAAGUAUUGAACAACACUUCUUGGCAUACAAUAAAAGUCACUUCCGCGACCAAGUUUUUUUUUUCUUGAAAGAAAGCGGAACAAAGCAGUCUCCACUGGCUCUCCAAAUCCACAGCUUGAAUCAUUCCUCCACAGUAAGGACAAGCCCGUGCUGCUGCCUGUCUUUGUAGAACUCUUUCAUCUUCAUUGCAAACAGACAGAGGCGGAGUUAGAUAUUGAAGUUUAUGGAUUCUAAAAUUACAAUCGAACCCGUAACUCGUUAGUUACUGGGUUCACAAUUGAGUAUUUAUACAUAUUUAAUGGAUUUCCAAAUACAAAUCCAAGGUCUAAACAAAAGCUAAUGGGUUCGUCCGAACCCGUACGUAGCACUCUCCCUUCGUCCCUGCAAACAAAUACAGAGCACAUCCUUAAGUAGUUGAUAUUCCUCCUCUGCUUCUUUAUUAUGUAUACCUUUGCUUAUUUUUGAUUGAAUAUUUAACAAUCAACCACUUUCCUCUUUCUGGGUUGAUUUGAUUAUCAAAGAAUAUCCAAAGGUAUGAAAAAAAAAUGAAGCUAAGUUUAUUGGAUAUGGUAGAACAGAGCUGGGUAGGGAUGAUGGGUUUUUUUGGGGUUAAGGUACAAGGAAAAUAUAUUUACAAAGACGUGGGAGUCUAGUAACAUCUCGAAGGGACUUUUUCUUAGAUACGAAGAUUCCAAGUACCAAACAAAAAAAACGUGUUGACUGUUUGUUAUGAUGAUUCUAGCGUCUAGAUGAGCUUUUCUUUUAUUUUCUAAAAUUUUCUUUGGAUAAACUUAAACAGGGAACACUAGAUUGUUUCCUUUCAAUAGGAGAACAAUACCAAAAUUAAUAGUAACAUGUAAGUUGUCAGUGAAGGUUUUGCUAUGCUUAAUUCUCAAGAAUAUGACAAAAAUAAAUUCCUUCCACCAAAAAUCAUUAAUUACCUACGUAAUUAAAAAUUAUCUUAAAAUACUACUCACUUUUAAUAUACUUUAUACACCUUACUAUAAUAUACUUU
rnacentral:lncRNA from 1 species